rnacentral:rRNA from 1 species
AAACUCAAAGGAAUUGACGGGACCGCACAAGCAGCGGAGCGUGUGGUUUAAUUCGAUGCUACACGAAGAACCUUACCAGGGUUUGACAUGUAAGUGGUAGUGAUCUGAAAAGUGAACGACCCUUCGGGGAGCUUACACAGGUGCUGCAUGGCUGUCGUCAGCUCGUGUCGUGAGAUGUUCGGUUAAGUCCGCUAACGAGCGCAACCCUCACUGUGUGUUAUACGUGUCACACGGGACUGCCGGUUUUAAGCCGGAGGAAGGCGAGGAUGACGUCAAGUCAGCAUGGCCUUUAUAUCCUGGGCUACACACACGCUACAAUGGUCUGUACAACAGGUUGCCAAACCGCGAGGUGGAGCCAAUCCCUAAAACAGGCCUCAGUUCAGAUUGCAGGCUGCAACCCGCCUGCAUGAAGUUGGAGUUGCUAGUAAACGCAGGUCAGCCAUACUGCGUUGAAUACGUUCCCGGGGCUU